ensembl:snoRNA small nucleolar RNA SNORA5
CGCAGCCUUGUCAAAUUCAGUCCUCCCUCUUCAGUGGGUGCCACUGGCCAAAAUGGCUGCCACAGUAAUUGUGUAGUUCAUGGGCCCUACGAUGCUUUAACAUAGCCCCUAGGGAUAAUUUUGUACUACACACAAAC